rnacentral:tRNA from 1 species
GGUCCUAUCGUCUAAUGGUUCAGGACAACGCCCUCUCACGGCGUAAAUCCGGGUUCGAAUCCCGGUAGGAUCG